rnacentral:rRNA from 1 species
AGAGUUUGAUCCUGGCUCAGGAUGAACGCUGGCGGCGUGCCUAAUACAUGCAAGUCGAGCGAAUGGAUUAAGAGCUUGCUCUUAUGAAGUUAGCGGCGGACGGGUGAGUAACACGUGGGUAACCAGCCCAUAAGACUGGGAUAACUCCGGGAAACCGGGGCUAAUACCGGAUAACAUUUUGAACCGCAUGGUUCGAAAUUGAAAGGCGGCUUCGGCUGUCACUUAUGGAUGGACCCGCGUCGCAUUAGCUAGUUGGUGAGGUAACGGCUCACCAAGGCAACGAUGCGUAGCCGACCUGAGAGGGUGAUCGGCCACACUGGGACUGAGACACGGCCCAGACUCCUACGGGAGGCAGCAGUAGGGAAUCUUCCGCAAUGGACGAAAGUCUGACGGAGCAACGCCGCGUGAGUGAUGAAGGCUUUCGGGUCGUAAAACUCUGUUGUUAGGGAAGAACAAGUGCUAGUUGAAUAAGCUGGCACCUUGACGGUACCUAACCAGAAAGCCACGGCUAACUACGUGCCAGCAGCCGCGGUAAU